AGAGCAUUCACUUAGGGUGAGUAAGAAAUAAGUUGGGGAGAAUCGGUAAGUACCACAACUCUUGGAAAAAAAAUGAAAAACCGAGCAAGCAUUGAAAAUAAAAAUAUAGAAAAGAAACAUCUGUUUUGUAAAUAUGAUGUGAAAGAAAAGAACAAAAAUAGAAAGAAUGAAAAUGAAUGCUUGCUUGGAAGAAAAAUAGUGAAAAAUAAAAAUUGAGUUGUGAAAUAAGAGUUGUGAAGGUUUCAAAUAAGAAACAAAUGGAACGAAGUCGAGAUGUGUGAAUAUGUGUACAGUGAAUGUCUCUUUUGCAUCGGCAAUUUCG
rnacentral:lncRNA from 1 species